CCUACGGGUGGCUGCAGUGGGGAAUUUUGGACAAUGGGCGCAAGCCUGAUCCAGCCAUUCCGCGUGAGUGAAGAAGGCCUUCGGGUUGUAAAGCUCUUUCGCAAGGGAAGAAAACUUAUCCUCUAACAUAGGAUGAGGUUGACGGUACCUUGAUAAGAAGCACCGGCUAACUACGUGCCAGCAGCCGCGGUAAUACGUAGGGUACUAGCGUUAGUCGGAAUUGCGCGGCGUAAAUCGUGCGUAGGCUGUGAAAUCACCGAGCUCAACUUGGGAACUGCGUUUGAAACUACAAGACUAGAGUAGGUCAGAGGGGGGUAGAAUUCCACGUGUAGCAGUGAAAUGCGUAGAGAUGUGGAGGAAUAUCAAUGGCGAAGGCAGCCCCCUGGGAUCAUAUUGACGCUCAUGCACGAAAGCGUGGGGAGCAAACAGGAUUAGAUACCCGUGUAGUC
rnacentral:rRNA from 1 species